AGAAUCAACGCUGGCGGCGUGCCUAACACAUGCAAGUCGAACGAGAAAGUGGAGCAAUCCAUGAGUAAAGUGGCGCACGGGUGAGUAACACGUGACUAACCUACCCUUGAGUGGGGGAUAACCUAGAGAAAUCUGGGCUAAUACCGCAUAAUACCUUCGGGUCAAAGGAGCAAUUCGCUUAAGGAGGGGGUCGCGGCCGAUUAGUUAGUUGGCGGGGUAAUGGCCCACAAGACUAUGAUCGGUAUCCGGCCUGAGAGGGCGCACGGACACACUGGAACUGAAACACGGUCCAGACUCCUACGGGAGGCAGCAGUGGGAAUUUUGCGCAAUGGGGGAAACCCUGACGCAGCAACGCCGCGUGGAGGAUGAAGUCCCUUGGGACGUAAACUCCUUUCGAUCGGGACGAUAAUGACGGUACCGAGAGAAGAAGCCCCGGCUAACUUCGCGCCAGUAGCCGC
rnacentral:rRNA from 1 species